GUGUAGUUUGAUGAUAGUACUGGUACUGGCUUGUAGCAUUGGCAACGGUCACACUUUUGUACUAACUUCUUAGCGUCUUGAUGCAUGGCAGACCAAUAGCAACCUGCGUUAAGAGCCUUUUGUGCUAAUGAUAGGCCUCAAGAGUGAUUUCCAUAAACACCUUCGUAGAUUGAACUUAGAACCUUUAGGUUAUCGAGAGGCGUUAGGCAGCGGAGAUGUGGUCCAAUGUAAGAUCUUCGGAUGAGAAUGCCAUUUCACAUGUAGUAACGUGUUGCUUUUUUUUGAAGUUUUCUAGACUCCAAUCUUUUCAUGGGGAGUGUGCCAUUGGCU
rnacentral:lncRNA from 1 species